UGACAUACGACAGGAAACAACGAGACACCACAAACAUCGAGUAUGUGGCAGAAAAACGGAUACAGUCUACGAAUUAAUCUGCUUUUGUCUCUAAUAACCUUUCAUAGUUAUGUAGAAACAGUUGCUGACUCAGGUUUCCAAAGAGAUAGCAACACAGUUGUCGGAAAACCAAAACUUGAUUUGACAGUAGGGAUUGGUGUUGGACUGUUUGUUUUGUUUGUUGCAAUGGCAGUUUAUAUUUACAAACCAAGAAAGAGAUCUCCAAGAGGACAGUACAUAUCUUUUGAACAAGCAAUGCCUGUUUGAACUGUGCAUAAUGGUGCCCGUUGAACCUGACUUGAGCUCAAAUGUCUGUAUUACCUUCCCCUGUGUUGUUGACAUUGGAGUAAAAGAUGUAUGCUGAUGUGAAUGCUAAGUGAAACCUGUUCCACUUGAUGUUCAACAGAAGCAUUCAUAGAUGUGAAGUUCAAAUGCAUGAUAACCUGUAUCGAAAGGCAUUCUUUGCAAGUGGUUGGAUGAUUUGCCACCAUGAUCUGUCACAAUAGGAACUCAUUUAGUUGUUAAACACUGUCAGGUUUAGACUUUAAGAUCUGCUUUACUCUCCUAAUAAUAGUAUGUUAGUAAUGUAUCACAACCAUUUUAAGAAGAACAUUUUGCUACCCAAAGGUAGUCUUGCCUGGUGCUGAAAAAGAAACCACUCCAAAUAUUGUCUCAGCUCCUACAAAUCUUGAUAACUAGGGCCUUUUCCAAACCUCACAGUAUUUCAAUAAGAAAGUAAAGAAAAGAAGUUAAAUUCUACUUUAGCAAGUGUGGCACAUAAUGUAAAACCAUUCAGUUCAGAAUUGGCUUUAAAUGCCAGUCUUGGUCUUUUAAACUUAGUCUAUAAAUGAAGUCAAUGUACUUAAAUGGAAGGACAUGUGGAAUGUUUGUUACGCUCUUUUUCCUUUAAUAUAAAUUCUUACACAUGAAAUCACCUCUACAAAGAUACUGGUGGUCAAGCUGCUGCCAUGUCAAACUGACAGAUCUAUUAAAAGGUUGAGGGAGAAGGGGGUAAGGGCUGAGGGUUAGAGGGGGGUGAGAAUCAGGAAUUGAGGUCAUGCUUCUACCAGAUCAAAUAAAUUUGAGGUUGACAUGGAAAGAACAUUGCCUUACAAGGCCUCAUGCAAAGGAAAGGAAAGUAUUUCUUUUUUCAGCUAGUUCACUCACACAAUAAUUGUUUUUAUCCUUUCAGCAGUAAAAUUAGUUUGUAUAGAAUAAUUGCCUUGAAAAAUUCAGGAGGAAAAACACAAAAUAUUAAAGAUUCUUUUAUUUACAGCCUGAUACAAAAAUAAACAAAUGGAAAUAGCAAUUUCCAAUAAUGGUAGCUCACUAUUAAACUUUGGUAUAUGUUGUACUAAUGUUAUCUCUUAUUAUAAGAUGCCUCAGCUGCUGCUGUAUUGGUGAAGUAACAUGGCAUAGUUGAAAAUA